rnacentral:lncRNA from 1 species
UCAAAAGAAGAACCCUAAAUAAUACACAAUAAAAUGAGAAAAAUAAAUCAACAGAACGUAUAUAACAAAUACAAAAAUGAGCUUGAGAUUCAACUACGGGAAAUAGAGAUGAUAGAUGAGGUUGUUGCAGUGUCGGUGCCAGUGGUGAUGGGAAAAUAGGAGAGAAGAAGGAAACAGGAUAGAUAAAGAGAGUAAGAGCAAGACAAAAGUAGGGUAGGGGUGGGGGAGGGGAGAGCUUACAUGGUCUGGUGGGGGGAGGGGAGGGAGCUUACCUUGUCUGGUUGUUGCCCCUGGUGAAUU